CUCCAGUGGCCUUCAACAUCAUAGUGGAAAUACUUUUUCUUUGCUUCAGCCUUCUUUGGAACAUUCUUCUUUGACUUGCUCUCUUUCUUCUGCUUCUUCAUGGGUUUACUUUUUUUCUUUCAAUCAGACUUUCUUUUGAAUAAAAAAAUCUACUCCACAGCGAGAAUAGUACCCCUUGAUCUCUUCAAGGUUUUCUCAACAGUGACCAACAUGUUAACC
rnacentral:lncRNA from 1 species